rnacentral:rRNA from 1 species
AGUGAACGCUGGCGGCAGGCCUAACACAUGCAAGUCGAACGGUAGCACAGUAAGAGCUUGCUCGUACGGGUGGCGAGUGGCGGACGGGUGAGGAAUACAUCGGAAUCUACUUUUUCGUAGGGGAUAACGGAGGGAAACUUACGCUAAUACCGCAUACGACCUACGGGUGAAAGCAGGGGAAUUUCGGAACUUGCGCAAAUGAAUGGGCCGACGUCGGAGUAGCUAGUUGGCGGGGUAAAGGCCUACCAAGGCAACGAACCUUAGCUGGUCUGAGACGGUAAUCAGCGACACUGGAAAUGGAACACGGUCCACACUCUUGAGAGAGGCAGCAGUGGGAAAUAUUGGACAAUGGGCGCAAGCCUGAUCCAGCCAUACCGAGUGAUUAAAGAAGGCCGUCGGGUUGUAAGGCCCAUUUGUCGGGAAAGAAGAGCAGCAAGUUAAUACCCCACUAUACUGACGGUACCCAAAGAAUAAGCACCGGCUAACUUCGUG